AGCAGUGGACGAGUUCCGAAUAGGACGAAACGUGCGUCCUGGAU
rnacentral:hammerhead_ribozyme from 1 species